UGAUGAUGAUGAUGAUGAUCAUGAUCAUGAGAUCAUGAUCAUGAUCAUGAUACUUA
rnacentral:miRNA from 1 species